rnacentral:rRNA from 1 species
GGACUACGAGCCCAAGCUUAAAACCCAAAGGACUUGACGGUUUUCCAUCCCCCUAGAGGAGCCUGUUCUACAAUCGAUACUCCCCGAUCAACCUUACCACCCCUUGAAUUUACAGCCUGUAUACCUCCGUCGCAAGCUUACCUUGUGAACGCAUACUUAGUGAGCUUAAAGAUAAUACACCCAUACGUCAGGUCAAGGUGCAGCCCACGGGGUGGGAAGAAAUGGGCUACAAUUUCUACCUAAGAACAAACGAAAGACUACAUGAAAUAUAACCUAAAGGCGGAUUUAGAAGUAAAAGGAAAGCAGAGAGUUCCUUUUAAUCGGGCACUGGAAUGCGUACACACCGCCCGUCACCCUCUUCAGAUACUAACAUAAUGUGACUAACACCACGAAUCUUCACAGAAGAGGCAAGUCGUAACAUGGUAAGUGUACUGGAAGGUGCACUUGGACCAACAAAAUGUAACUUAACAAAAGUAUCUUGCUUACACCAAGAAUAUGUCUGUAAAAACCAAACCAUUUUGAGCCUAAAAUCUAGCCCCACCUCACUUUGAUGRAACACACUAACUACAAAAUAAAACUAAAACAUUUUCUUAGCUAAGUAAAGGUGAUUAAAAAGUAUCUAGGAGCCUAAGCAUUAGUACCGCAAGGG